rnacentral:rRNA from 1 species
UACGAAGGUCCCAAGCGUUAUCCGGAUUUAUUGGGUUUAAAGGGUGCGUAGGCGGACUAUUAAGUCAGUGGUGAAAGCCCCAAGCUUAACUUGGGAACUGCCAUAGAUACUGAUGGUCUUGAGUACAUUUGAGGUGGGCGGAAUGUGUCAUGUAGCGGUGAAAUGCUUAGAUAUGACACAGAACACCGAUUGCGAAGGCAGCUCACUAAACUGUAACUGACGCUGAGGCACGAAAGCGUGGGGAGCAAACAGG